GCCGGCAACAUCUUUUCCUCAAUCUAACUAACGGUUAUGUAGAAAACCCUAAUCACUCAAAAAUUUCAAAAAUCCUUCCAACACCUAAUCGCUUAGUUAAAUUGGUGAAGAUUAGUGGGAGUUAGAAGCUUUGAUUUUUCUUCGCUCCAUUUUUCGCUGCCUGCAUUUUCUUGUUCUGGUACUUUCGAAUUUUAAAUAAUUUUAAAUCCUGAUUUGUGUAAAUUGCCUAUUGCUAGGUAAUUGUUCAACCCAGAAGAUCUGAUAGAAAGACCCAAUUGAAGCCGUAGCUUUUCUGGUGGAAGGCAAUUGACACCAAGGUCGAAUUUGCAGUCAACAAUCGCAGUUUUGCUUGGCGCUACUUGGUGGUAGCUUUUCACCUGACUUCCAAGACCACCAUCUCAUCUACUCUUCAAUAGCUAACUGCCACUCAAGGGUUGGAUAGGAAGUCUGCUUUCUCUGCAGGAUCUUAUGAGCUUCAUGCUAGUUGUGCUAAGAUUGAGUGGCGUGGCAUCCUUAUUUGACCCAAUUUUCAAUGAGACCACAUCCCAAGGUGGAUGGUCUUUUUACGUGUCAUGGAGCGUUUGCCGCCAUGCGAAUUGCGUGUCGUGUUAGUUUUUAUUUUUUAUUUUUUAUUUUGUAUUACGAGGGUAGGGGAUAUUCGAAUUUGGAACCUCUUCCAACAUUGAGAAGAGAAAUACGAACAAACCAAGUGCUACUCGGUGCAUGUCGUGCUAGGUUGCUUGGUGAUCUGAAAUUUAUGACUAAAUGCCAUUUUAUUAGUCUUAGGUGACUUAAAUUACUAUAUUGGAAGAUGUUCAUGGAUGUUCUGAGCAAGUUCUUUCUGAUGAAUGAUAGUCUUGAACCUAGGAAUUGUUGGACCAUAGAAUUCCAUAUGAUGGCGAGAGGUAGGCAAUUUAGCUGUAUUUCUUUGAUUUUACUAGAAUAUAUUUCCCUUUUUCCAAGAUGGCUCAUAUCCGGUUUAACAACAUGUGGUGAUUGUUUAAUGAAAUUCAACCUGAUUUGGAACAUGUUUACAGUGUAAAAUAUCUAAUGGCUGCCAUCUUUGAUAUAUUAUCUUUUUAUGCAGACUAAUCUCUAUGAUUCUUCUCUUCUUCUUCCAGUGACAUAUGCAAUUCCAUGAUGAAAACAAGCAUCUUUUAGUCUUCGAGUUUUCGUAAAGUGAAUGAGAUAAUGAUAUUUAAGCAGGAAAUGGAAUAACUAAUCUCUGUUGUAAUUUGUAUAAUAAAUGAUGAGAUGUUUAUACAAGGAACAAGUAAACCAAAGUUGAAGGAAACAGUGAUUUGGAACAGGACAUAAGAUAGUUAAUACUUUCUCUAAGCAAGUUUAAUAUUCUUCUUUGACAA